GACGAACGCUGGCGGCGUGCUUAACACAUGCAAGUCGAACGGAAAGGCCCUGCUUGCAGGGUACUCGAGUGGCGAACGGGUGAGUAACACGUGGGUGAUCUGCCCUGCACUUCGGGAUAAGCCUGGGAAACUGGGUCUAAUACCGGAUAUGACCUUCCAUGUAGUGUGGGGGGUGGAAAGAUUUAUCGGUGUGGGAUGAGCCCGCGGCCUAUCAGCUUGUUGGUGGGGUAAUGGCCUACCAAGGCGUCGACGGGUAGCCGGCCUGAGAGGGUGGACGGCCACAUUGGGACUGAGAUACGGCCCAGACUCCUACGGGAGGCAGCAGUGGGGAAUAUUGCACAAUGGGCGGAAGCCUUAUGCAGCGACGCCGCGUGGGGGAUGACGGCCUUCGGGUUGUAAACCUCCUUCGACAGGGACGAAGCUUCGGUGACGGUACCUGUAGAAGAAGCACCGGCUAACUACGUG
rnacentral:rRNA from 1 species